rnacentral:misc_RNA from 1 species
ACGUCGUCCCCCUUUCGGGCUCCUACUCCGGCCAUGUCAAGCCUAGGUGAGGUUCUUCGCGUUGCAUCGAAUUAAACCACACGCUCCGCUGCUUGUGCGGGCCCCCGUCAAUUCCUUUGAGUUUUAGCCUUGCGGCCGUACUCCCCAGGCAGGGCACUUAAUGCGUUAGCUGCGACACCGGAGGGGUCGAUACCCCCGACAUCUAGUGCCCACCGUUUACGGCGUGGACUAC